AUGAUUGUUUGGUCCAUAUGGUUCCAGCAACUCCUGCUUAAUGCCUUGGGCUCUUCUUAUAUUCCUAGCCCUAGAGUGGGAGAUCCUUUGAGACCCUGCAUAGAAUCUGGAGCAUCGGUAACCCAUGGAAGUGAAGCACAUGUAACCCAGGACUGUGGGAGUGAGAAGAACCCUUAUCAUGCGUGUGGAAGUGGUCUCAGCUGGGAUUCUCAAGUACUGAUGGGAUCCAGACUCGGCUCUGCCUCCAGCUGCAAAUUACUUUCGCGCACUCUGAUCCUUAGAUUUCAAGUCUGCAGCGUUCUACCUUUGAGCUGGAUGAUCUGGAAAUUCCUGGAGAGGAGGGGCUUGCCUGAGCAGUGCUUAGCACAGUGCUUAUCACAAGAGGACUGCAUAAACAGUGCUAUUAUUAUAAUCCAGAGACCGUGUUUUCGGAAAUGAAAAUUGGUGUGUACGAUCUGAUAAGUGAAGGGACCAUGGGCAGAGUAUUUGAAAUGGGAACUUCCUUGGAAACUUUGAGUUACAAAGUUUCAAUGUGGUUGUCAGGUUGUCUGUUACUAGGAAAUGAGGUAGCACUAAUUCUUUUUGUCUUCUAUAAAGUUUGGUUCACAUUUAUCCAAAGCUCACUGUGUACCAGACUCUGUGCUAAGACAUUUACAACCAUUCGCUCCUUUAGCCCUCAUAACCACCCCAUGUUGAGCAUCUCUGUUUCUCAGAUGAGGAAACUGGGGCUCAAGGACUGGGACAGUUUCCCAGGGUCUCACUACAGGCAGGAGAUCCAGGCUCAACCUGGUGCUCUGACUUGAGUCCUUGUUUUUGUCCCCCUGUUUUCCCUUCUCCAGCAUACUGAGUCCAACCCACCCCCUGCUUAUGUGGAAGUCACAUGAGCAUAACAUGUGCUCCAGACUCCUUAUAGCCAAUUAUUUAAUCUUCACAUCAUCUUUCUAAGGUGUGUGUUACUGUUGUCCCUCAUUUGAUAGAUGAAGGUCUUGAAGCUCCAAGGUCAGAUAGGUUGCCCAAGAUCAACCAGCCAAUGUUGGAUUCAAACCCAGACCGCUAGGCCUCUUUGACUUCAAAGCCUUGGGUUUAAGCCAGGGUUUCUCACACUUGGCACAGCUGACAUUUGGGGCUGGACAAAUCUUUGUUGGGAGGGGAAGGGGUAUUGUGUAUUGGAAGAUGUUUGAGAGUGUCCUCAACUUUUAUCCACUAGAUGCUAGUGACUCUCUUCCCCUAAUUGUGACAACCCAAAUCAUCUCCAGACAUUGUCGAAUGCUCCCUGGGUGCAAAAUUUCUCCCAGUUGAGAACUCUUACUUCUGGCUGGCUGCCCGGGCCACCUCAGGACUGGGGAUGCAUGCAAGAAGAGCUGAAACUUUUGUGAUCUUCUCUUAAGAGUCUGAGGGCAGGGAGUUCCUGUUGUGGCUCAGAGGGUUAAGAACCUGACGAGUAUCCAUGAGGAUAUGGGUUUGAUCCCUGGCCCCGCUCAGUGGGUUAAGGAUCCAGCAUUGCUGCAAGCUUCGGUGUAGGUUCUGGCAUUGCUGUGGCUAUGGCAUAGGUCAGCAGCUGCAGCUUCAAUUCAACCUCUAGCCUGGGAACUCCCAUAUGCCAAAGGAGUGGUCCUGAAAAGGAAAAAAAAAAAAAAAAGGAAUCUGAGGGCAGGUAUUCCCGCUCUGUGACCCUGAAAUUGGCUGCCCCCUGCACAUCGAGGUAUUGACUGGGCCCUGCAGCCUGUUGGAGAGAGCCCAGGACAGCUGCAGGAGUUUUCACCUCUGGACUAACCUGGUGUGCACUCACCCAGCAGGCUGCAUCUUCAGAAGCUCUCCGGCCCAAGUUGAAUUUGUCUGGAGGCCAUUCAGAAAGCUGCCUGAGAUGAUUCUCUCUUGGCUCAACUUGGCUUUAUCUCUAGGCUUUGAUUUUAAAUAGGACUAAUGACCAUUUGAGAUUCAAAUUCUGCACCAACUGCCCAGAAACUCCUGGAGGAGCAGAUGGGACGCCUCCUUUAGCCUAAUUCACUGCUCCCAUCUCAACAAAUGCCCCUGUCCCCAGGGAAGUUAGAGUCCUAGGAAUUGUUGCCAGCCUCUCUCUCUCUGUCAACAUCCACUCUUAAGCCACCACCAGAUCUUCUCAGUUUGGAAUUCUAAGUAUGAUUUGGAUCCUGUGGUCCUGUCCAUCUCCUGCUUCCCCAAUCCAAGCCACCUCAGACAAAUGCAAUGUCUUCUGAAAGGCACCCAACUUCAUUGACUCCUGCCUUCCAUUCUGUUUUCACACUGUAGCUAGAGUAGCCUUUUAAAAAUGUUAAUCUGAAGCCGCCUACCCCCCUUCCCUUCCACACACAUUCCUACUCCUGCCCUAAAUCAUUCAAUGGUGCUUCCUGUCUCUCCCCAUCACUGCCUCGUCUCUAGACAUACUGGCUUGUCUCUUCUCAAUGGCACCAUAUUCUCUCCACCCCAGGGCUUUUGCAUAUGCUAUUCUCUCAGGCUGGAUGUUCUCACUAUCCCUCUUUGCUUAUCUGACUCCACUCAUCCUUAGCGGAGGUCUUCCUGACCCCUUCUCACUCAACCCAAGCCUAGUUGGUUCUGGAUCCAUCCUUACAUGUUAGAGCAGCAUCUCUCUCCUUCCUCACUUUUAUCUCAGCUUGCAGACUUAUUUGGGGGGUUGCUUAUUUGUUUAAACUCCUCUUCCCCUUAAGACUGUAAACUCCACAAUGGGAACAAUGUGUCUAUUUUUGCUCAUCAAUUACAUCGCUAAAGCCUAGUAUAUUGCCUGAAACAUAGCAGGCACUUUAUACAUACUUACUGAAUGGCUGGAUGAGCUCAAAUAAUCCUCUCAACAAGCCUGUGAAAAUUUUGCCUGAGGCCAGUGCUCUUUCUCAGCUCUGACUCCCUAUAGCACCUGCUCUCCUGGCAUUAUGCAGCCGGGAGCAAUAGACUAUGAAAGACAUAAAGGGCUCUGGAGCCUAACCAGCUGGAUUUCAAAUCCCCCCUCUGCCAUUUCCCAGCUGUGUGACAUUGGAUAAUGUCCUUAACAUCUCUGUGCUUUAGUUUCCUCUUCUGUAAAAUGUCAGUAAUAAGAGCACCUGUCUCAUGGGGUGGUUGUAAGAGUCAAAAUAAUGGAGCUUCUAUAAAACGCUAUUAUAAGGGCUUGGCACAUAGUGUGUGCUCUAUUAAUCUUAGUUUCUAUUAGUAUUGUUAACAGAAAGACAAUAGAAUCUGGGAUUCGAUGAGUCUGCUUUUCUCUUAUACUUGCAGGUAAUUCCCCGUGUGACUGUGGAUAAGUCAUGUCACACCCCUGAGCCUGAGUUUCUCCAUCUGUUAGGUUGGGAUCACAAAGCCUACUGCAGAGAGGGCCUUUGUGAGAGCAGAGAGGAUGAGAGAGAGCAAGCACUCAGCACAGCACCCAGGGCAUGGUGAAUCCCUUCCUGACAGGCUGAACCAGCCCCUGUCGCCUCUUAGACAAGAGAAGUUAGGCUUCACAUUUACCUUAUCUAGGGCUGUUAUCUCCAGCCCCUCUGUACCUGGCACAUAGUAGGUGUUUAAUAAAUAGUUCUUUACUGUAUGAAUGAAUCA
rnacentral:lncRNA from 1 species